AGAUGCUUUAAUUGCCUGUGAUAAUGUAAGCCAACACUACGUUUUCUGAAAAUAAGUGUGUUUUUUCCUCAUCCCCCCGCUCCAAAGAUUUGUCCCUACACUGCUUUUGAUUUUCCAAGAAGUAAUAAUGUUUUUGCAUUUUCUGCUGCCGCGGUGAUUUCCGGGGGAGUACUUGAAAAUUACAUUGGACCACCACUGCUGCUAAUUUGCGCUACAGGCAAUUAAAAUUCAAAAUAAUGCAUGUCGCCACAUGUGCUCAUUCCAUCACAAGAGAUAGAAUGAAAUUAUUCCACUUCAGUAUAACAGAAUAGGCGACAUUCUGUUGUUAAAAAAAACCAAGCCUGGAGAGAGCAGAGCAAAAAUUUGCCAGUUAGCAUUAAUGAAAUGGCUGAAUAUGAAGGAAGAUCUAAAUA